rnacentral:rRNA from 1 species
GAUGAACGCUGGCGGCGUGCUUAACACAUGCAAGUCGAACGAAGCACUUUACUUGAUUUCUUCAGAAUGAUUGUCCUGUGACUGCGUGGAGGACGGGUGAGUAACGCGUGGGUAACCUACCUCGUACAGGGGGAUAACAGUUGGAAACGACCGCUAAUCCCGCAUAAGCGCACAGAGUUGCAUGACUCAGUGUGAAAAACUCAGGUGGUAUGAGAUGGACCCGCGUCUGAUUAGCUAGUUGGUGGGGCAACGGCCUACCAAGGAGACGAUCAGUAGCCGUAAUGAGAGAGGUAACGGCCACAUUUGUAUUAAGGCACGGCCCAAACUUCUACGGUGGGAAGCAGUUGGUAUUCGUGGACAAUGGGGGAGACCCUGAUGCGUCGGCGCCGCGUGAUUGAAGAGGUAUGUCGGUAUGUAAAGCUCUAGCAGCAGGGACGUUAAUGACAGUACCUGACUAAGAAGCCCCGGCUAACUACGUGCCAGCAGCCGCCGUAA